GGCGUGGUAGCAAAGCGGUUAAUGCGAUUGACUAGAACUUAAUUACCUUUGGGUGAUUGAGUAGAUAUCAAUUCCCUUCGGGGGCGUAGGUUCGAGUCCUGCCCACGUCG